rnacentral:rRNA from 1 species
CAGCAGCCGCGGUAAUACGUAGGGUGCAAGCGUUAAUCGGAAUUACUGGGCGUAAAGCGUGCGCAGGCGGUUUGUUAAGACAGAUGUGAAAUCCCCGGGCUCAACCUGGGAACUGCAUUUGUGACUGGCAAGCUAGAGUGUGGCAGAGGGGGGUGGAAUUCCGCGUGUAGCAGUGAAAUGCGUAGAUAUGCGGAGGAACACCGAUGGCGAAGGCAGCCCCCUGGGCCAACACUGACGCUCAUGCACGAAAGCGUGGGGAGCAAACAGGAUUAGAUACCCCGUAGUCCCUGUCUCUUAUACA